UGACCUCAAAUCAGGUAGGACUACCCGCUGAACUUAAGCAUAUCAAUAAGCGGAGGAAAAGAAACUAACAAGGAUUCCCCUAGUAACUGCGAGUGAAGCGGGAAAAGCUCAAAUUUAAAAUCUGGCGGUCUUUUGGUCGUCCGAGUUGUAAUCUAGAGAAGUGUUAUCCGCGCUGGACCAUGUACAAGUCUCCUGGAAUGGAGCGUCAUAGAGGGUGAGAAUCCCGUCUUUGACAUGGACUGCCAGGGCUUUGUGAUGCGCUCUCAAAGAGUCGAGUUGUUUGGGAAUGCAGCUCAAAAUGGGUGGUAAAUUCCAUCUAAAGCUAAAUAUUGGCGAGAGACCGAUAGCGAACAAGUACCGUGAGGGAAAGAUGAAAAGAACUUUGGAAAGAGAGUUAAACAGUACGUGAAAUUGCUGAAAGGGAAACGCUUGAAGUCAGUCACGUUGACCAGGGAUCAACCCAGCUUUUGCUUGGUGCACUUCCUGGUUUGACGGGUCAGCAUCAGUUUUGACCAUUGGAAAAAGAUGAAGGGAAUGUGGCAUCUUCGGAUGUGUUUAUAGCCCUUGGUCACAUACAGUGGUUGGGAUUGAGGAACUCGGCAUGCCGCAAGGAUGUGCUUAGGA
rnacentral:rRNA from 1 species